GUGAAAACUAUAAAUGCUCCGUCCUUCCCAGAGCCUUCUCAGGCCUGCUGCACAGAGUGCGUAAUACGCUAAUAUUGGAGAUUUUGCUCAGUUUUAUACUCAAAAGGCUCUAAUCUGCUAAUGCCUAUCGCUUCUGGAGGUUAGACCAUGCAGUGAGCUCAGAGAGAUUGCUGCAUCUGGAAGCACUACAGAAACAUGCCUCAGGCAGCUGCUAUCUUUUCCAGUCCUCAGCAACUGCCAAACCUCGCUGCAGCUCCCUCACCUGAAGUGUGAAAGGGCAAAAUCUGUCUGGCUGGAGAACAUCCAUCCCACAAAAAGGGAGCUUAAUACUCACCAGUGCCAUCCAUCUACUCAGAAGCUCCCACUUUUGGACAUGAUUUAUUCCUGUCAUUGUCCAGGACAAGUGUGGCAGACACCUUGAUCUCUCUAGGCUGCACAUCCCAUCCAGGAGAUACUGCUCUCCAUGGCUAUAAUCCAACACCUGCAUUUGAGCCACUGGAGGCAAAAAUCCAAAAUGUUCGCAAGGGGAAUGGAGCAGUGGGAAGGCGAAAGACAGUCUGCCAUGAUAUAAGGCUAUUGAGCACUGAUGAGCAAAGAGGAAGACACAAACCAACCCUAACCCUGUGAGAUGUCCAGCCUUUAGAGUGGACACAAAUCUGGGUUGUAAAAGCAGAAACAUGAACUGCACUUUGUGCUCGGGUCCCAGCUGCUCUGCCCAGGUUAGAGAAUGAACGCUACAAGUUGAAAACUACAGCACUACAGGCACGUUCACUGCUGCCUGUUCUAAUCAUCAGGCAGGAAAGCACAAGUGUUAAGUGGAUAAAUUUAAGAUUAAUUGCCUUUGUUAUUUUAGCAGGAGAGCCCCUGAUGCUGAUCCAUGCAGGCGCUGCUGGCCGCGACCAAAACCUGGCUGCCUCCUGGUUGCAAAGCACUGGCGGACAAGCAUGAUCCUCCUUGUAACAGCACUGCUCCUAAACGACCUCCCAGGACUACGUCUCUCUGGGUGCACAUGAGAUGUACCAAACCCCAUUAGGGCAUCUGUAGGGAUGGAUGCAGGGAUAGUGACCAUACUGCCACCUUCUUCCUACCAGAACAUUCUCUUUUUCUCUUGCUGCCCAUGCAGCAUGUAUCCU